rnacentral:lncRNA from 1 species
CCCCUCAAGCCUCCAGGUGCCAUGUCCAGUCCACCGCUCCCAGUUCCUGUUUAUGCCCCAAAGGCACCAAACCAGCUUAGACCUGAUCCUCCCACCAAGCCUCUCCCAAAGCUAAAACCCAAGCAGGUAAGGGGACAGCUUUGACUAUGAAGAGACCUUCCCCUCCUGCAAGUCUGUAGGCCCUUUAUUCCGGAGAGCAGCCUCCUAUGCUUUCCCUUGGGAGGAGGCUACAGGGAUUUGGAAGGUCUCAAAACACCACUAACUAAAGCUUUGAAAGUAAUGAUUCAUUUACUCUUUCCUACCCACAGUGUUGGAGUCCUUCCCAGCAGGGUUCCUUGGGGUUCCAGGUAAACUGGAACCCUUUUCUUAGUCCUAAAAGUGGGCUCCUACUUCUGAGUACCCAUGAGCAUUACUGUAGUCUUAGCCCUCCGUGCAUACUCCGGGGUCAUAGCUGUGAUGCUGGAGAACUUGUAUAUGUGUGUGCGUGCAUGCAUGUCUGGCCAGGGACUAAUUUUAGACUUACAUAAGGGCUGAAAAUCCUUUAAUCCCAAAACUUGGAAGGCAGAGACAGUUGAAUCUCUGAAUUCAAGGCCAGCCUGGUCUACAGAGUGAGUCCAAGAUAGCCAGGAAUAUACAGAAAAACCCUGUCUAAAACAAAUUAAAACAAAAAGAAACAAACCAAGGAAAAGAAAAAAAAGAAA